rnacentral:rRNA from 1 species
AUACGUAGGGGGCGAGCGUUGUCCGAAGUCACUGGGCGUAAAGCGCGCGUAGGCGGUCUUUUAAGUUGGAUGUGAAAUCCUGCGGCCCAACCGCAGAACUGCAUCCAAAACUGGGAGACUUGAGGAUGGAAGAGGGCAGUGGAAUUCCUGGUGUAGCGGUGAAAUGCGUAGAUAUCAGGAGGAACACCCGUGGCGAAGGCGGCUGCCUGGUCCAUAUCUGACGCUGAGGUGCGAAGGCCAGGGGAGCGAACGGGAUUAGAUACCCCGGUAGUCCUGGCCGUAAACGAUGGAUACUAGGUGUAAGUGGUAUCGACCCCACUUGUGCCGUAGCUAACGCAUUAAGUAUCCCGCCUGGGGAGUACGGCCGCAAGGUUGAA